rnacentral:rRNA from 1 species
UACGGAGGGAGCUAGCGUUAUUCGGAAUUACUGGGCGUAAAGCGCACGUAGGCGGCUUUGUAAGUUAGAGGUGAAAGCCUGGAGCUCAACUCCAGAAUUGCCUUUAAGACUGCAUCGCUUGAAUCCAGGAGAGGUGAGUGGAAUUCCGAGUGUAGAGGUGAAAUUCGUAGAUAUUCGGAAGAACACCAGUGGCGAAGGCGACACACUGGCCCGUUACUGACGCUGAGGCGCGAAAGCGUGGGGAGCAAACAGG